UUACGGCCAUAUCACGUUGAAAUACCGGUUCCCAUACGAUCACCGUAGUUAAGCAACAUCGAACCUAGUCAGAACCUAAAUGGUUGACCAUUUCUGAAUACCAGGUGCUGUAAG